rnacentral:rRNA from 1 species
UACGUAGGGCGCAAGCGUUUGUCCGGAAUUAUUGGGCGUAAAGGGCUCGUAGGCGGUCUGUUGCGUCGGGAGUGAAAACUUACAGCUUAACUGUGAGCGUGCUUUCGAUACGGGCAGACUUGAGGCAUUCAGGGGAGAACGGAAUUCCUGGUGUAGCGGUGAAAUGCGCAGAUAUCAGGAGGAACACCGGUGGCGAAGGCGGUUCUCUGGGCAUUACCUGACGUGAGGAGCGAAAGUGUGGGGAGCGAACAGG